rnacentral:rRNA from 1 species
UACGUAGGGUGCGAGCGUUGUCCGGAAUUAUUGGGCGUAAAGGGCUCGUAGGCGGUUUGUCGCGUCGGGAGUGAAAACACUGGGCUUAACUCAGUGCUUGCUUUCGAUACGGGCAGACUAGAGGUAUGCAGGGGAGAACGGAAUUCCUGGUGUAGCGGUGAAAUGCGCAGAUAUCAGGAGGAACACCGGUGGCGAAGGCGGGUCUCUGGGCCGAUACUGACGCUGAGGAGCGAAAGCGUGGGGAGCGAACAGG